UUGGGAGUUGAUCACCCCAGGCAAGAUGCUGACUUAGCAGAGAAUCAAACACCUGAUAAUAUGCCUCACGGAAUGAACAAAGAAAUGAAACACAGCCUGGGAGAUAAGAUACUCUUUUCAAGUCACCUAUGAGGUAAAUAUAAACCCCAGGGUUAAGUGGAAUCAAAAGUAACAUUAUCCUAAAGUAAUUGAAAAUGAAAAUAAAAUGUAAUAGAAGCAAAAAUGUGGCUUCUAUUACACACCUUUAGGAUGCUUUCCAUUCAUCCACAAAUCCCUCUCCAGAGUCUGCUUUUUACAAUGGGAGGUCAUUGUUGGCAACACUGCCAAGAGCCUAAUCAAAAUGUGAGAACAUCUGUCACGCUCUCAUUGCAUGUCAAAGCUCUGCUGCACACAUA
rnacentral:lncRNA from 1 species